UUUACUUCUCCUCUUUUUGUUUUUAUUUUCUUUCUCGUGUGUACGAAAUGCCAUCAUGAGGAGGAACUGAUUACUACCUUUGGAGCUCAGAUAUACAUAUAUACACAAAUCAUACCUCCGUCUUCGCCCUCCUCCUGCCGCCGUGUCUUCUUUCCUUUAAAAAAAAAAGCAAAAAAAAGCCAGCAUUCAUGCUGCUUCUUU
rnacentral:ribozyme from 1 species